UGUGGGCUCAGAUUUUUUGAAUGAAUCAUAUAUUUGGUUAAAUGCCAAUGGGAAAGUGAUUAGCAUUACUGUGAAUGUUAGCUAUUUCAAAUUAUUAAAAUGCAUUGGCAUUGUGAAGAGCUUUUCCUUCUGAAAAAUGUAGAUGACAAUUUGUGCAAAUUUAUCUCUUUAUUUUUGUUGCAAUGUACUCUAUGUGGAGAUUUGUACAUGCUUCCUAUCAGUAAUUAGAAAUUUUUGGGUCACAAGUUCCUUGUUUUCUGUUUAAAAUAAAGAUAUGAGUAAUAGAACCUUUAAAGUUUUUAUACUUUUGGUUCCCUAUGAUUAGUAAGGUUUUUCCUGUGAUAAAUUAUAUUACCUUCCGAAUGGGUGUUUUUACCUCUUCAAGUUAGUAUUGAAACAAUUUGCUAGCUGAGCAUCCCUAACAUUUUCCAAAAUUUUUUGAAUGCCAAUGAGAAAGUGAUUAGCAUUACUAUCAAUGUUAGCUAUUUCAAAUUAUUAAAAAUGCAUUGGCAUUGUGAAGAGCUUUUCCUUUUGAAAAAUGUAGAUGACAGUUUGUGCAAAUUUAUCUCUUUAUUUUUGUUGCAAUGUACUCUAUGUGGAGAUUUGUACAUGCUUCCUAUUAGUAAUUAGAAAUUUUUGGGUCACAAGUUCCUUGUUUUCUGUUUAAAAUAAAGAUACGAGUAAUAGAACCUUUAAAGUUUAUAUUCUUUUGGUUCCCUAUGAUUUGUAAGGUUUUUCCUGUGAUAAAUUAUCUUACCUUCCGAAUGGGUGUUUUUACCUCUUCAAGGUAGUAUUGAAACAAUUUGCUAGCUGAGCUGUAUUGAAACAAUUUGCUAGCUGAGCAUGCCUAACAUUUUCCAAAAUUUUUUUUCCUACUUUUAGUGAUUAUUAUGACACAGGAAAAGGAAUUCCUUUAGUUUAAGCUCAAGCCAACCUCAUUUUGCCUAUUAAGUUGGUUUCCUACAAUUUUUCCUUCAUGGGUAAGUGAAACUUAGAGAUGAGUACUUGUUUGAAGGUUUACAGUCUAGUAGCCAUUUUGUCUAUAUAUUGAUUAAAGUUUCUAUUUUAAUGUCUAUCAAAGUUAUUAAAGGCACACUAAGGCACAAAGGGGUUCGGGAACCUAGGUACAACUAGGCAAGGUGCAAAGUGUUGCCAAGUUUAGCCACAUAUCUAAGGGAGGUCAGGCACCCAAAAAAAAGGAUGGAUAUUUAUACAAAGAAAAUAUAUUAUAUCUAAUUAACAAAAUUGACCAAAGUUAACAAUAUUCGAAGGAUCAAGCCAAAGUUAACCAUCUAAUGACUUGGAUGACAGACAAAAUGAAUAUGGACUUCACCAUUAAUAUUAUUCCCCUUUGAGAGCUUGUUAGAGAGUAAAACAAACCCAAACUGUGCUUUUGAUAUUGUUAUUAGAAAGAAAGAGAAAAGAACAUAGGUAACCCAGUAACAGAGAAGCAGAGCUGCCAAGGGAAGUGGAGAGAGAGAACAAUAGGACUGUAAACAAGCUAUGAUGAGAUGGAUUUAAGCUGUGUUUAUGCUAAAAGUAGAACUUCGGAAGUCAGUGGUUUCUACUGGAGUCCAACAAUAUUUGAGCAAUUUUCCAGUGCCAGAGUCGGUGUUCUAGGACACCAGAUUCUGGUAGUUUAGCCAGAUCAAAGUCUUGUAGUGGUGUCUUUUUCUGAUGAAGGUGCUCACAGAAGAUGGAAAUUAGGAAGCUGCGUGUUUCUUGGGGCUUUUGCCUAGAUAGAAGGUGCACCUUCUAAUGCCUUUUGCCUGGAAGAAGGUGCACCUGUUAGAGUUCGCCUGCCUUUUGCUAGUACAUGCACUAGGUCAGCACCUUAAGCACACCUUUAACAAGUAUAGAAUUGAUUGUAUGAACAUUUUUUUGAAGUAGCCAUUGCAUUUGUACCAUGAUUAUAGUUGGCUGCAUUUAAUGGUUUAUUCGUGAAAUGGCACAUGAUUAUUCUCUUCGUCGAGGUUCACUUAAAAAGAAAGUUUUUCAAGAAGAGAUUGAAAGAUUAAAACAAGAGUUGAGAGAAAAGGAUUUAAAUCAGGGGCAAUAACCACUUGAAAGAGAUUGAAUGACUGAAGCAAGAUAUAAGUGCGAAAGAUUUUCAAAUCUCUGCACAGGAUAAGAUCAUAAGUAAGCUCAAGAAGAGUCGGAAGAAAUGAAAAGGAAGAAAAAGAAAUAGUAAAUAUUGCUGUGAUUUUUUCUUUAUCCUUGAAACAUUAGCAAGGAGUUAGAUACAUGAACCAACACCUUCCAUGCUGACCAAGAUAUUACUGAUUUAUGAAGAACCUGAAACUCUGGAGUGCAUUGUUUGUCAUUCGGCCAUGAUUACUGAGCAAUUUGAGGUAAAUUAAUGGCAGCAAGCAUUUCACUAUAUUUAAUGUGUUACCCAAUGCACACCGUAUUCAUUUCUAUACUACAGCUGCAAGAAGGGAAAGAGAAAAAUGGAAAUCAUUUCAAGUUGAUAUUGAGCCAACUUGGCAUGAAGUUUCUGAUCACAAUGUAGUGAUUGGAAUGGAGAGUGAAUUUAUGGUCACGCCAAAGUAAAUCAAUAUGUGUUAGACAGAAACCAGCAUAUAUUUGAGAGCUGUUUUGUUUGAAGGUCUUCAUUAUAUGUAUGCGCUUCAACUGGGGGACAAAAAUAGGGAAAAUCUUCAUCAUUGCUCAAAUCUUAAUUCUGCUUCAAGUAGGAGUAAUGUGCUUGGUUGUGCCCAACGAAAUGGCAUAAUUUCUGGGCAGAAUUGGAAGAUUUGCAGGAACUUCGAUGAAAUUUCAGAUGUACUGUAUAUAAUUUAUUUUCCACUUCUGAAUUUCGUCAACUUUAAAUGCUGAUCAUCAAUGAGUUUUGUUUAAAUAGCAUUAGAUUUUUCUUCA